rnacentral:misc_RNA from 1 species
AACCCCAUAAUAGAAAGCACUCUCACAAAGCUUCAAGGAACAGUGCUGAAUACAAUGUGACAGUCCAUGACCACUAACCGUAAAAACUACAUGCCUAGUUUGACUAAAUUCAACCCAGAAUUCUUUGAACAUCUGGACCUAUUUGAAAGAAGCACAGAGUCUAUCAACUUCCAAUGUUAUUCAUGUGACAACGUUUUGGUAGAAAAAGAGCAUGCCUUUCUAAGAAAGGUUUUGCAUCCUUGCUCAACCAUGUUAAAAUACAGGUUAUCACUUAAAUUCACUUCCUAGUUCCUAGGAGUCACACUGGCAUUCAUCCUCUUUUGAUAAGCAGACUUCAAACCCAGAUACGCCUCGAGUGUUUAAAUAUUUUUAAUUUAAUAUUAUCAUAACUUUUUACUCUUUCCCACAAAUCCUUUCAGUGCUGCCACUUGCCUAGGCUUGAUCAAGACAAACACCACAAUGAAAAAAAAGUGACAGGAAACAAGCAAUAGCGCAAUCAAUGUGGGGGUGUUGAUAAUUCAACAUCCACAAACAUUUCUUAGGCAAAAUCUUGCUAUCAAGGCUCAACUAACACAUAAUCCGUGACUUGAUGCUAGAAAG